AUGAAUCAAAACUUUCAACAACGGAUCUCUUGGUUCUGGCAUCGAUGAAGAACGCAGCGAAAUGCGAUAAGUAAUGUGAAUUGCAGAAUUCAGUGAAUCAUCGAAUCUUUGAACGCACAUUGCGCCCGCCAGUAUUCUGGCGGGCAUGCCUGUCCGAG
rnacentral:rRNA from 1 species